GGCUUCACAGCUCAGUUGGUCGAGUUUCGCACCGGUGUCGCGGAGGUCACUGGUUCGAAUCCCGUUGAAGCCC
rnacentral:tRNA from 1 species